AGCACGAUGGCCGAGUGGUUAAGGCGUUGGACUUAAGUUCCAAUGGACAAGUGUCCGCGUGGGUUCGAACCCCACUCGUGCUA
rfam:Octopus bimaculoides Scaffold47970_contig_98, whole genome shotgun sequence.